rnacentral:lncRNA from 1 species
CUUCCAGCCCCAUCCAACCCCCAAACAGAUCACACGUAUAAACUUAUUUCUAAAAUUAAAAGAAAGGAAAAAAAAAAAAGCUAUAGCAGAGAGGCUAAAAUCUAUUUAUCGAAACCAGCAUAUUUUUGGAAAGCUAAACGUUUCCUCGAUGACUGGCAGCAAUCGCCCGGCUCCCACCUUUGUAUAUUUGGGAAACUUAUUUAAACCUAGUGCGCAGAAACGUAUUUAAUUCCAGGCCUUGGCUUCUCCUCAGGCUUCGGGUUUUAACCCCAGCCUAUCACGUGAACGUCCCGGAAGAGCGCGGCGCCCCCAGCCAUCUUUAUACAGCCAUGUAAAUCCUCCUGUACAAGCGAACACGGAAUAUAUACAUAUAUAACUCAAUAAACAGAAUCAUUAGUGCGUCUUUUAUUCCCCUCCCCCACAACUCGCCACGAAUCGGCUCAGCAACCCCAAAGAACGAAAAGGAAAUAGGUGUUUAUAGUAUUUCCCGCCCAAAUGCGACUUCCUCUGGGGCACUGGGACCUAGGUGAGGCCAAACCAGAGCUCCUGCGGCGUUAAGCCAGUUCGGAUGCCCCCCUUCCCGCCCCCGCUCCAGGCGCAAAGGCCUACGGCGGCCCCCACGUGGUACCAAGUUUUUAUUUGGAGGCUGUUCUGACCAAGGGAUUCUGGGUGUUGCCUUAUUUGGGUGAGAAAAUUAAAAUAAGAAGGGGUUAAAAGUGGCUGGAUGUAGGAGAGCAGGUUUUAGAUGCGUGUCUGGAGAAAAGCGCUGCGCCGCACGAAAGUGAACUGCCAGGGGCACUGCUCCACCGGGGCGCUUCUGGUGGCCAGUCAAAACUCUCAUCCCCAGCUGACUGCCUUCAGAAAUCUCUAUGGAGCAGAGGUAGCGGGGAAAUGAAGACACUCAUCAUGCACAUGGUUUUGUGGACCAGGUGAUGGAGGAUUUAAAUCAUUUCCUUCUCUUUCGCUCUCUCUCCUUUUUUUUUUUUUUUUUUUUUUUUUUUGCUUUU